rnacentral:rRNA from 1 species
UAAACGAUGUCGACUUGGAGGUUGUGCCCUUGAGGCGUGGCUUCCGGAGCUAACGCGUUAAGUCGACCGCCUGGGGAGUACGGCCGCAAGGUUAAAACUCAAAUGAAUUGACGGGGGCCCGCACAAGCGGUGGAGCAUGUGGUUUAAUUCGAUGCAACGCGAAGAACCUUACCUGGUCUUGACAUCCACGGAAGUUUUCAGAGAUGAGAAUGUGCCUUCGGGAACCGUGAGACAGGUGCUGCAUGGCUGUCGUCAGCUCGUGUUGUGAAAUGUUGGGUUAAGUCCCGCAACGAGCGCAACCCUUAUCCUUUGUUGCCAGCGGUCCGGCCGGGAACUCAAAGGAGACUGCCAGUGAUAAACUGGAGGAAGGUGGGGAUGACGUCAAGUCAUCAUGGCCCUUACGACCAGGGCUACACACGUGCUACAAUGGCGCAUACAAAGAGAAGCGACCUCGCGAGAGCAAGCGGACCUCAUAAAGUGCGUCGUAGUCCGGAUUGGAGUCUGCAACUCGACUCCAUGAAGUCGGAAUCGCUAGUAAUCGUGGAUCAGAAUGCCACGGU